AGGACUGCCCUGUGAAGGGUGCAGGCAGUUCUUAGGACAGAGACCAUCACCCCAUCUCAGGGCCAUCAUCCCUUUCCAGAAGCACUGCAGCCACAUAUCGUACCCACCAUGUUUAUAAAGCUGGACCUUAAGAGCCUUUUGCUUUCUAACAUCACAUACCGAGCAUAAAGAAAAGCCAGAUUACAUUUCCACUUGCCAAAUAAUUUGUUUUAUUCAGUGAGCUGAAGCAGUGGAGGCUUUCCAAGCCCGCCUCUGGCUGCCCUCGGGAGGCACGGUGAGGAGCUGAGUGACACGGAUGGGAACGUGUGUGAGGGGAGCACCCAGAGUUGGCUGCUGGUGGUCCUGGGUGGCAAAGAGGAGCAAAAGGUGGCUGCUGUUCAGAGAAGAGCUAGCAGGCUCUGGGCUGCAGCCACCAGAGGGCACGUUCCAGCUUGCGAAGCACUGAUGUUACUGUAGUCUGAGCUCCUGAGCCUUCUGCAUCUCUUUAUGAACUCACUUGGAGCUUUGUUUUCUACUCUGCACUAAUCGUGGUGUACCAGGGAAAAAGAAUAUUCAGUUUGCUGGCACCUCAAAGUGCUUUGGUAGCCUCACAGUAUCCCACCGUUUUGAGUCAUGCUGUGACUGUGUGCCAGGUGAGCUACUGUCAAACGUGGUCAACCGAGCGCAGGAGGGCUUCAUACCCUUACAGAGGUGCUGAGAACUUUAGAGGGCACUUCUCUUAAAGGUAAGAUCAUGAAAAUCAAAUGUGUAAAAUACACUUUGCAGUUGUAUGCUGUGCUCACACUCCAGAUGUGUUACAUCCCUAAAGUCGCUCUUUGGAAAUAGGGAUGAAAGCAUUGUGGCUUUGCUGUAUGGAUGUAAGGAGUGCUCUCCUUUCUUGCUAAUGAGAGAGGGCUGUUCUGUUCUCUCACACCUCAACACAUUUAAACCCCAGUUGCUUCACUUUAGAAAAUGCCCCAACCUUCAUGUGUUGACACAAGAAUGUGUCUACUGGGGAUUUAAGUCUCAGGUCUCCUUUAGCUCCAUUAUUUUUCUCUCUGGAGUUGACACUGCAGAAGGAGAUGGGUGUCUGUUGCUGAUGCUCUGGCCUUCAGCCAGCCUGAGGUCACUUCUGAAGAGGUUCCACAGAGAGCAAUCAUUCCUUCAUACUCUGCCUCAAGCAGAAAUGAUGCAGUAGUUUGGGAGGCCAGCAGUCUGUCCUCAGCAGAGGUCCUGCAGUCACUCCUGCUAUGUUCUAAUGGUUGGAUACUUCAUGAAAAGUUUCAUUCUGAUAUAACAAAGAGGUUUUCCUGCUCCUGUUCUGGCCGGCACCUGGAAUCCUUUUCAAACCUCUCUGUACCACUGUUUGUUAGUGUAUUUCAUAGUAAAAUGAAGGUUACAGCCUCCCAAACUAUACAGUGGUGCUGCAAAUGCAACACCUACCUGUCUUUGCACCUUGUUUUUUUCUGGAUAGGAAGCUUUUCUGGAUCAAUGAAUAACCCUGUACUGCAGCAGAAGUACGGAGUGCCUGCAGCUCUGUAAAGGUUAAACCUGGGGCGCAGCAUGGAUUUAUAAGCUCAAGAAUUUGUCUUAAUCAUAGAACAAUUCUGCAUUUUCAGAUAGCCCUCAUAUGGCUGUUUUUUUCCUUCUCCAAACCUGUGAUGGUAACUUUGGUGUGUCUGAUCAAAGGUAAAGACUUUGGUCUUUAACUGAAGACCAUAAAGAUCUUACCACGCUUCUCAGAAAUUUUACCUGUAGGAGUAAGUGUGAUGUCUCCCUUUUCUUGCUGAGUUAAUCCUUGUAUUUGUAAAGGAGUGUAAUAACAGGAAAGGAAAGGCCAUGAGUUACCUGUGGUAUUUAUUUUGCUGCUAAUAUGAACAAGGGAAAAUGGAAGGCUUUGCACUCCAACCAGUUUUGUAAUCUGCCUGCCAUUUUAAGUAAGGGUUUCGUGUUUUGGGUAAUGAGGCUUUUCGCAAUAGAUGUGGUCAGGUCAGCUUGAAUCCCUCCAGCAAAAUGGCCAGAGCAGCCACAGCUCUUCUCAUACCAUUGGUACAAACCUUCAAGAAGCUUCUAAUGAUUCUGAUGUUUAUAGCUUGGAAUAUUUUGCACACAUGUUCCAACUUUGCAUUCACAACAUUUGCUAAACCAACAGUCUGCAGCAGACAUGAUAGCUACCAUCAGGAAACUUGUUUGACAGUUUAAACAGACAGCAUCUGUGUUUCCUACAUUUCAUAGUACACAAAGAGAAUGAGAAUUGCCUGUAGCUCAAUUAAUUCAAGAUGUUGUCAUAGGAUGGGGCUGUGUUUUGGAGAUGUUAGAAACGUCUAAUUGAAAAAAGGAAUUUUGCUCUCGUAUUUGGCUGAGUUUCAUCAAUAUCACCUCCUCAGUGGGAUAUUGCUGAGAGCAGUUGGCUUCAGUUUGGGGAAGGAGGAUAAAUUGGCGUACAUCAGGGCUGCCCUCCUGCACUUCCAGCUACCUCUUUGUUGAGAGCAAAGGUGGCAUUUUCCCAUUCCAAAGCAAAGUAGGGACUUGAAUUGGGUACUACUUGAGCAUCUUUUGAAAUCAAAGCAAAAUAAUCACCGUUAUUGACAGAAGGGCAGACAGAACCAGAAUUAUGCUAAAUGCACCACACAUCAAAGUGUUACCCAGCAAGAGCAGCAGGCAGCUGAGGACAGCACAACCUGCUGGCAAUGGGCAUUUCUUGUAGCACCAUACUUGGGCUCAUGGAGCACAUGAACGGAUGCUGAAAGGUAAGCAUGGGAGGAACGUGUGGAUGGGGUGGACAACGUGAGAGCCAGGACACCGUGCUGUGGUCCAGCACUGCAAUUUGCUGUUGGGGACUUGCUUAGAAAUUUACAAUAUUUUGGCUGUAAUCAACAGGACCACAUUUUUGGCAACUGCUUCAGGAGCCUCCAGAUUUUUGUUGCUAUAAAGAACACCGAUAAAAGGAAAAUUCACACUUUAAUGCCAAAAUUUCUUAGCUUGUCAGAGGACUGGAUGGGGGGGAAGAGCUGGGAAUGUUCUGUGACAAGCUGUAAUCAUGGACCAAAUUGUGAUAGCUGUGUUCGGUAGCACCUGAGUCCAUGAUUUCAUCUGUUGGCUUGGCAGGGAGGCUCCUUGCAGAGUAAGAUAUUAUUCGGUGUGUUGUGUCUGAGCAACAUGAGGUCCUUCUGUCUCCUGAAGCAGGUUUUAUGCAAGACUGUGCUGUGGAUGUGCUGGUACAGUGGCUGCCCUGUGGUGAGAGAGUCCAUAACUGUGUCGGUUUGGGGCUUUUCCUGGGUGUCUGCUCAGAAAUAUUUAGCCACAGAACUUUCUGGCUUUUUAGUUGAGGGCAUACAGCUGAAAUAAUGCAUGCUUAUCUGAAAAUGUAUGGACUGACCUGACUGUCAUCUCUGGGGAGCACUCCGCGGGUCAGUGGGAGUGAAUUAAAACCAAAUGUGUCUGUUUUUCAUGUUUACUCUUUCUGUAAACAUAGCACACAUGCAGCAUACAGCUGCUUUUCUGAAAGGUUUUUUCCCUGUAUUUGGGAGAUCUGUGUUUUAGGAGUGUUUUCUGUUGAUAGCUCCAUAGAAAGAAAAAGUGAUGCUGGACCACUUAGCAGAUCCGUUUAUCAAUGUGUCUGGAAGAAUUUCAAGUAAGGUAAGACAGUAAUGAAGUUGGAGCCAAGACAGCAUCAACUGGGUUUGAGUAAAGAAGAGGUUGAAAAGAGAAGUCGGUGCCUUUUCCCUCAGCUCCUAUCAACUCCCAAAGAAAUAAAAUGAAAAGGUACAGAAUGUUUCUCCCUGGGGGGAAAUUACUCACUAUUUUUAUUGAUUAAUGCCAUAGGGCUGAGACCCAGAACGCUUUGUUUUCAUCCCCUCCUUAGACACUCCUUGCUGUUGAUUUUUGUUUGUUUGAUGAAGUGUUUUCCAACCUCAUUUGGUAGCAAAGGGCUCUAUGGAGCCGGAGCUGUUGUGAUACUCUGCUGUGAUGCUGUGUGCAGUGCAGGCUGGCUGGGCACAUCACAAACACAUGGGGCAGAGGCCGAGUGAGAGGAACUGGCUGAGCUAAAAUUCGUGUCCUUGCGGCAAAUGAAUGGCACUAUAACCUUAAAGCUGGGGGGGGAUGAAUAAAGGCUGCAUGUAGCUACACAGGUGCAAGGUUCUUCAGUGAAGGCCAAAGCAGAGCAUGGGAGCAUUCACUGACCGAAAUGUGCAAUUUCUUGCGGUUAUUGCCAGUUUACUCCUUUCAGAGUACGAAUGAGGGUGCCAUUUCUAUCUAGGUAGUUCUGGUGUCACUAGCCAAGUCUCUGAGUACUGAGAUCUGCAGAUGGUAUUGAUCGCUGGUUGGAAAAGGGCAUUGAAUUUUUAUAGGAAAGACUAGUCCAUCUGGUGGGCCUGGUGGUAAUGGGUUGGCCUGGAUGAUCUUGGUGGUCUUUUCCAACCUUAAGGACUCUAUGAUGUAUUGAGAAGUCAAAUGGGAUUUCUUUGUUUUCCCGAAGCCCCACUGUGUGGGGAUCUGACCUCUUCUUGUCCUUUCUCCAGCCAGCAGCUGACCAUGGUGGCACACGUGACUGGCACACUCAACCUGGGGGAAGUGCACACAAUGAACCCCUUUCCUGGUUGAAUAGGCUCGCAGAAUGUCAACCCAUUUCCCCAGACAGCUGGGACAUUUCGGAGUCAUUCUGUAUCCUUUUAUUGCCGUUGCCAUGGUGAAAGACACUAAUUCACCUUUGUGCAAAACUUAAUAAAAAUCGGCCCAUCAUUCAUUUGUCUGUGGACCAUCGGAAGGGCUUGUGCUGAAUUUUUGAGACAGGCUUUUCACAAUCUAUUAAUCCACUCACUGAAGAGUUGGUUGUCUCAGUCUCUUGUGCGGGAUCUUUGUGGAGCACCAAGAGUGUCUGUAGUUGCCUUUGUCUGGAAAUGGGCAAAAGGCAGCUCGUUACCGUGGUUCAGCUGAAGUGCCAAAGUUAUCCUUGGGCUGAGCCUUCUUCAGUCUUAUGAGGAGAAUGGAGCUGUCUGGGGAAGCCUGUGAAUUGCUAAAAGGGCUGGAUUGCUCUGGCACUAAUCGGAAAUAGGCUUUUAUUGGCUCAAUUAAAAGGGGUGAAGUUGUGCAGUAACUGUGAAAUAUAACAAUAAUAAUGAUAGAAUCAUAUCAUAGAAUGGCCUGGGCUGAAAAGGACCACAAUGAUCACCCAGUUUCAACCCCCUGCUAUGUGCAGGGUCGCCAACCACCAGACCAGGCUGCCCAGAGCCACAUCCAGCCUGGCCUUGAAUGCCUCCAGGGAUGGGGCAUCCACAGCCUCCUUGGGCACCCUGUUCAGUGCGUCACCACCCUCUGGGUGAAAAACUUCCUCCUCAUAUCCAACCUAAACGUCCUCUGUCCCAGUUUAAGACCAUUCCCCAUAAUACUGAAAAAGUUGUAAGAAUAAAAAAAGCUUCUCACAUUCAGCCAAACGUGGCAGUUCCCACCUUAGGGCAGAGCCCUCACCCCAAAACCCAGACCCAAACCACACUGGGCAUUCACUGGCACAGCCGAGCUGUGGCCGUCCCCGGCCGCGGUGGGGAUGCCGCAUUGUGCUGCGGGCAUCAAUGCUCUCAAUGGGAUUAGGCUGCAGCAGGGCCGAAAGGCUGUGGGAAAACCUGCGUGUGUCGUGGUUCCCUCGGCUGCCGUCGCAGUAGAACGUCGCCGCUCGGCCAACAAUGGGGUUAAAAAGUAAGAGCAACUGUUGGUGGGGGCUUGGUUUUGAAUUAUGUAUUCAUGAAUCUGCAUAAUGGCCUUUCAGCUGUGGCAUUGUUGCUGGCAACACAAUCUGGGAAUUGUGAGAAGAGACGGAGGGGUGAGGAAUGGAGAGGGGGAAAACGUGGAAAAAACUAAGGCUUAAUCAAAGGAGAGUGACAAACUGAAUGAAAUGAGAUUUUCUUCCCUGCUUACGCUGUGCCUAAGAAACAAGUCUUCAGCUGGAAAUGCUGACUGCUCUCACAAACUAAUAAUCCUUCUGCUUUCCCUCUGGCUGAUGGCUUAGGUCCCUAGGAGGGAGUGGAGCGAUGCUGUAAGCGCAGGCGUUGUGCCUGCUGAUCCCCGAGCACAACUGGAUCUUCCUGUCUCUUACACAAGGAGGACGAGCAAUAGAGCACCUAAUCCCUGCGGGUCCCAAUCACUGCGGAGAAGGCGUUGUAGGUACUAAAACUACAGCACAAAGCCCUUGGCUUGGCAUACUGGGGAUUUACUGCUGGGAGAUGAUUAACAUUACUGAGCUCCCCUUUAGAUACCGACAGGCUGCUAUCAGAUCACCUUGCAGCCUUCUCUUCUCCAGACUGAACAGCCCCAGCUCCCUCAGCCUGUCCUCAUACGAGAGGUGUUCCAUUCCAUGGAUCAUUUCUGUGGCCCUCCUCUGGACGCCCUCCAACAGUUCGACGUCUCUCCUGUACAAAUCUAUCUCCUCUCUCUACUAAAUAGCCCGUUCCCAUUUGCCUCUGAACAUAACGCAACCAUCUGUUUAUUAUCUCAGAAAAAAAAAUGUGUGUUUUUAUAGGUGCAAUAAAACACAAUUUCAUUGUCUGCGAGGGGUUGUGGCUCUUAUUUUUAACCAUGGUUUUGUACUGAGAAGACUUGGAGGCAUCAGCUCCAUAUUCCCUUUUGCUGUCAGCUUCCCUCAGACUGUCGUGACCUGUUUCAUUAAAGCUGUUCCCCCUCUGCACUCCCCGAGCGUUGUGUUUAACGACAGACUUUCGCUGCUGGCAUUGGUUUUCAUUAUUGGUCUUUGCACUUCCAGCAUCUGGGAGCAGCGCACGCAGCAUAUGUUCAUAUAAUUUAUUUACAUUUAGGGAAAGUGUGGUGUAGAUUGUACCACGUUAAAUUCCCCUUUGGAUGACUGUUUCCUUGACGUGUUAGCACGGUGUUUUCGGAGCAUUAGCGUUUCCUGUAGUAAAGAAUUGAUUCACUGUUGUGUCCUAAUAUGAAUACCCCCAGUGCCCGUCUUGUGGUAUUUUUAGUUUCAAACACAGGUUGUGAUGCUGUGCGAUGUGCCGUGACCAAAUACUUCUGUUUCUUUCCCUGAACACCUUCCUCUAUCUUUGUCCUUUGGAUCGUGUGUGCGGAUGGAGACCGAGCGGUGGAGCGUGGGCUGCCAGCACAGCUCCUGGGGCUGUAAAACAAAGGGCCCUCCGAUGGCAACUUGGUCAGCAUGAAGCUUCUUACAGAG
ensembl:lncRNA